rnacentral:rRNA from 1 species
CUGGCUCAGAUUGAACGCUGGCGGCAUGCCUUACACAUGCAAGUCGAACGGCAGCGCGGGGCAACCUGGCGGCGAGUGGCGAACGGGUGAGUAAUAUAUCGGAACGUACCCUGGAGUGGGGGAUAACGUAGCGAAAGUUACGCUAAUACCGCAUACGAUCUAAGGAUGAAAGUGGGGGAUCGCAAGACCUCAUGCUCCUGGAGCGGCCGAUAUCUGAUUAGCUAGUUGGUAGGGUAAAAGCCUACCAAGGCAUCGAUCAGUAG